rnacentral:lncRNA from 1 species
AGAGAGGAGAGAGAGAAAACAAGAAAAGAAGAAGAGAGAAUGGGGAGGCUCUCUUUCUUUCUUCCUUCUUCCCAAAUGGAGGAACGUGUUUGGCGGUGGGUAGCCACCCAUAGUCGGUGACUCCCAGUGAUCGAUGACCCAUGACGGUGCCGGCGGCGUGCCACACCCGACAACGACUAGCCAAAAUGCAAGAAGAAAAUAUCGAAAUAGGGGAGUUAUGUUUAUCAUCAAUCAGACGACUCACCGACCAGAGUCAAGGCGGAAUAGUGGCCCAAAGAUCGGAAAAAGAAGGAGAGGUAGCUCAUUUUGCCUCCAAUGAGCUCCUCGGUCGGAUCGAUCGCGAAAACCUCAAGUUCCUCCCAUAAAAUACUUAGAGAUCCAAGCCUCUAAUGGAAGAACUCCCCUGGGUGAUACCAAAAGAGACGGAAAAAGACUCUUUUAUAGAAGAAGAUUGGCUCAAACA